rnacentral:rRNA from 1 species
UACAGAGGUCUCAAGCGUUGUUCGGAAUUACUGGGCGUAAAGGGCUCGUAGGCGGCCAACUAAGUCGGAUGUGAAAUCCCCAGGCUCAACCUGGGAAACUGCAUCCGAUACUGGAUGGCUUGAAUUCGGGAGAGGGAUGCAGAAUUCCAGGUGUAGCGGUGAAAUGCGUAGAUAUCUGGAGGAAUACCGGUGGCGAAGGCGGCAUCCUGGACCGACAUUGACGCUGAGGAGCGAAAGCCAGGGGAG